CUCAUGACCCCAAGAUCAGGAGUCUCAAGCUCUACCAACUGAGCCAGCCAGGAGCCCCUGCUUUGUAGAGGUUUUAAUGGGAAAUUCCAAGCACACACAAAAGCAGGACGGUAUAGUGGGCCCCACUUACUUACCCCACCCCCAGCUUCAACAAUUAGCAAUUCUGGCCAGUCCAACUCCACUGAUACACUGACCCUCUUCUCUACACCUCCUAGAUUAUUUUGAAGCAAAUUAUAGCUAUUGCAGUGUGGAUCUCUAAUAGAUAAGGACUCUUCUUAAAAAACUUAUUUACGAUGCAUUAUCAUCUCUAAAAAAUUAGGUUGUUCCUUAAUAUCAUCAAAGGGCAGUGUUUACAUUUCAAAAUUAAAUUUGCCUUGCAGAUACCCUUUUUAGAGUUGAUUCAUUGCUUUGUGGUUUUAAAGAGACCAAACGGCUUUCCCCAGAACUGACCUGGUAAGUUCAUUCUCAGCCACAAUGAGAUCUUAAAGAAGUUAAAGUUUCUUCAUCUGAGAAUGACUGAAAUCAGGCAGGUUGCUCUUAAAGUUCCAUUCCUGCUCAGAUAUUUUCUGGAGGGUUUCUGAGGAGCCCCCUUGCCUUCUGUGACCCCCGUCGCUGUGUGGUGAUGAACGUCAGUCCUGAAAUGCCAGUGAGCUGAUUGAAAUCCUAAUUUGAGAGGCUCCACUUCAGUGCUGGAACUCACCAACAAGAGCGUCUCCAUUCUCCCUCUUGGUUAUUGGAAUAGCAGCCACACUUCCUUGUCUGAGGGGGACGUGUCCCAAGCCCCCCCAGCGGAUGCCUGGAUCCACAGAGAGUACCCACCCCAUGCAGACGAUGUGUUUUCCUGCACAUGCACACCUAGGAUCAUGCAUACCUACGUAUAAGUUAGACACAGCAGGAGAUGAAAACAAUAACUCGUCCUAAAAUAGAACAAUUAUAACAAUGCACUGUAACAAAAGUUACGUCAGUGUGGCCUCUCUGUCAAAAUACCUUAUUGUGAUAUUUCUUCUUCUUCCCGUGAGGAUGUGAGAUGAUGAGAAAGCGCCUACAGGCGGAGAGGACAUGAGGUAGGGGACGAGGGCAUGUGUCUGCGACGUAGCAUUAGGCUGCUGGUGACCUGGGGAUGCGUCAGGACCAGCAUCAUCUGCUUGCAGACCUCGGCUUGACUGCAGUUCUGGAUGACCGUCUUUCUCCCUCUGGGGACUCCUCCACAGCACUCCCCUCCCCACAGCACCCAGACUGCCCUCGUCGGUUGUCAGCCGCCUAAGACAGGGGCGGUGGGCACUCGAGGCAUCAUCCCAAGUUACAGCUGAAGCCGUCUAAAAAGAAAUUGGGAGAGUGACCACUGGCUUAUCUGCAGGACCGUCAAGCCCGGAAGUGGGCCAGAGGACCCCCCCCUCCUUCAGGAGACCACGCCUCUGUGGCGGGACAGCACUAGCUCAGGUGCCGAUGCUGCCCUUUCUACAGAUGACAGACCUGAGGCCUAAGGAGGUUGGAGAACACGCCUGAGCCUAAUAACGGGGGCCGGGCGGGGGGGAGCCCAGGUCAGAAGCCAGACAGCCUGCUCACCUAACUACCGUGCUCUGUUGCCUAACCCUAAGGGGUGAUUUUUGUGGUUACAGAGGAGGGCACAUCAGAGGGAUUUGGUUUUCACCCGAGAGCAAACACAGUAGCAACUGCUUAUUUCGUAUAAGUCAAGUUGGCUCUGGGUGAUAGUAUCCUUUGUUUUAGCAUUUCCCAAAAUGUGUCCCCUCCGGAAAA